UCUGUCUUGGGCUGGAGUUCGUCGUUGUUCUCACGCUAAACUCAACGAUGGACAGCAGCCCAACACUGAACU
rnacentral:precursor_RNA from 1 species